AGUGGAACUGCUGGGUUAUAUGGUAACUCUGUUGAACUUUUGGAAGAACUGCCACACUGUUUUCCAUAGCAGCUGUACUAUUUUACAUUCCCAUUAGCCAU
rnacentral:pre_miRNA from 1 species